rnacentral:rRNA from 1 species
AGAGUUUGAUUCUGGCUCAGGAUGAACGCUGGCGGCGUGCUUAACACAUGCAAGUCGAACGAGAGAAGAUUGGUGCUUGCACUGAUCCGAUCGAGUGGCGGACGGGUGAGUAACGCGUGGGUAACCUGCCUCAUACAGGGGAAUAACAGUUGGAAACGGCUGCUAAAACCGCAUAAGCGCACGGUAUCGCAUGAUACAGUGUGAAAAACUCCGGUGGUAUGAGAUGGACCCGCGUCUGAUUAGCUAGUUGGUGAGGUAACGGCCCACCAAGGCAACGAUCAGUAGCCGGCCUGAGAGGGUGAACGGCCACAUUGGGACUGAGACACGGCCCAAACUCCUACGGGAGGCAGCAGUGGGGAAUAUUGCACAAUGGGGGAAACCCUGAUGCAGCGACGCCGCGUGAGUGAUGAAGUAUUUCGGUAUGUAAAGCUCUAUCAGCAGGGAAGAUAAUGACGGUACCUGACUAAGAAGCACCGGCUAAAUACGUGCCAGCAGCCGCGGUAAUACGUAUGGUGCAAGCGUUAUCCGGAUUUACUGGGUGUAAAGGGUGCGUAGGUGGUGAGACAAGUCUGAAGUGAAAAUCCGGGGCUUAACCCCGGAACUGCUUUGGAAACUGCCUGACUAGAGUACAGGAGAGGUAAGUGGAAUUCCUAGUGUAGCGGUGAAAUGCGUAGAUAUUAGGAGGAACACCAGUGGCGAAGGCGACUUACUGGACUGCUACUGACACUGAGGCACGAAAGCGUGGGGAGCAAACAAAAUUAGAUACCCUGGUAGUCCACGCCGUAAAC